rnacentral:rRNA from 1 species
CCGGCAUUGCCUUAGUACGGCGAGUGAGCGGCAAAAGCUCAAAUUUGAAAUCGGCCUCCAGGUCGAGUUGUAAUUUGUAGAUUGUAUUUUUGAUUUGGUUAAAGUCUGUUGGAACACAGCGCCUUAGAGGGUGAGAGCCCCGUAAAACCUAUUCAAUUGUAAAAUACUUUCAAAGAGUCGAGGGUUUGGGAAUAGA